UUUCGACAUUGCUACGAGCGCGUGAGAGUUUCGUUGUAGAGCCCAGCCAGCCGAUCCUCGUUGAUCCCCUCGACACUCCUGAAGCAAUUGAGGUGUUUGAUGGCGCUCUUACAGAUGCCACGAGUGAGGCUUUGGUAAGCAAUUGCUGUUAUCAAUGCCUGCCCAUACUCUAGUUUUUGUCACUUACUGAGGCAAGUAUUGGUGUUUGCAUUCUCUAGGCUUUGCUGUUAUGUCUUAUCCCUAGUGUGCAGCUAAGGUUAAGACAUGCAGAUAACAAAUAAGCUAGGAGCAAGCUGUGAUUUUAAAUCGAGAUGCAUCGAAGGGGUGAGACUGCCUGUUCUCUGGUAAGCAACAAAGGUGUUUGUAAUGGUGCUAUACUUUAGCAUUAUUUCAUGAGUGUAGAGCAAGCUCUGACUACUUCCGUAUUUCUUCAAAUGGCAACUCUGUCCCACAGUUCCAGAUCUUAGAGCAUGGGAAAUGACUAAUGAGAUAGAACAAUGACUAGGAGGUGUAAACAACUGCCCAAAUAAAAUAAAAUUUGGGCCCUCACAUUCAUUCAAUCUUUCUCAAGGUAUCACCAGUUCACUCAUACUGGCCUCGGAGAUAAAGAGGGGGUGUGAAUUGGCUAAUUGUAAAGCCUAGCCCAGUUAAUACAAGCUGUAAACCCAUUCAUGCUCAGGUUCUUUCUAUCCAGCUAACCUUGAAUGCCAAACAUUUUUGGCUAUACUUGCUUUCUGGGUAUCGUAAUGCUCCUUAUGUCAUGUCUUACGUUCCCCAGGCACCAGCCCCACGUUUUAUGUGCUCAAACACGGCAUUGGCAUUUUGCAUGGACAGUGAAUUGAGGAUUGCAUUUUCUUAUAACCAAGGUUAUUGCCCCAAGAUGAACCCUUUCCAUGAUAUAAGUAGCUUUGGGGAUAGCGUUUCACUGGUCAGAGUAAAACAGCGAAAACUGGCUAUGUCUUGUUCGUAUUAACUGUGUCGUGCUCUGUACGUUCCUUCCAGGUUGUGGAGCUGACCUCCCUUGGGGACCUGUCUAUCAAAACAACUGUAAGGUCUAUGCUUGCACACCUGAUUAGUGACGAAGCUGCAGCCAAGUUCAGCAUGGAUGGGCGCAAAGGGAAGAAGGUUUUCCGUAGCCUUAAGCUGUACAAAUUGAUCUUUGCUGCUAUAAAGCGGACAAAGCACUGCAAAGAGUCUAC